UCGGGUGGAAUUUAUUUAUUUUUCCUCUUCUUUUUGUUGAAGGAUUUCACUAAUUGUUUUUGGGCUUUAUCGCUAAAAAUAGAUAUGUAAAUCGAUAUUUUUUAUUUCAUUUUAUCUAUAUGUGUUCAGAGUAAAAUUUAGGAGUUUCAUCUUCUAAUAUUUUUGAAUGUUCUAUCUAGCAUAUGGUUGCUAAUUGGCUAAGGCUUGAGCUUUGACAUAAAUGGCGAAAUUAAUUUACCACAUUUGAAACUUGCUAAUUGAGGCUUUGUUUCUCCUAUUUCAAAAUAAAAUUUAAGAAAUCUUCAGCUUUUUUAGCAAUUGUAUGUUGGACUUUCCAAGGUUACUGUUGCUGCCUGAUUGUUCUUUUUUCUCACAUUGUUGUCCUUCUUUAUUUAUCUCUACCUUGCUGAAUUUUUUCUUAAAAAUUUCUUCUAACAGAUGUUCAAAUAGUGCGCUAUCGAAAAGCUGAAUCUGAUUGAGAAACGAUGCUUGAACAAUUACAGUUGAAGAACAAAAUGGAGCAUGAAGACAGCUACAGGCGAGUUUCGAAGCCAAAAUACGAGUGUCUUCUCUUUGAUAUAAUGAAGAACCCUGUCUAUGAAGUGAUGGAAAGGAGAUUCUGUAGAGGCGGGUAUUGUGUGUGGCUGAGAUAACUUGUGGUUUUAGAAGUGACUUUUAUUGCAUUGGUUGUGCCCAAUUUGUUGAUUUCUUGUCACUUGUGGGGAGCAGUGUGUGCAUUAUUUUGGGGUUUGUGUUGCCUGCUUUAUUUUUCACUUCUUCCUUCAAGGUUUUACCCAGUGUUAUCCAGAUCAAGUGUGUUAUACUGAAACUGUUAUUCAAUUGUAGCACCGUCUUUUCUAUUAGUUUCUCUCUUUGUA